CCUCCUCUCUACAAUUCACUUUCCCAUCUUUAUUGAACCAUGCUCAAAAAAUAACUCUGCCAAUAGCUGAAUCAAUCAAAAGUACUGGACUAAAUAACAGGAGAGUAUUUGGGAAAGCAUAAUUUGGAAAAAAAAAAUGUAGAAUGAUAAGAUAAUAUGGUAACAUGAUUCUUACUCAAAUGAUAACAUCAAAGUGCAAGGGUGUACA
rnacentral:lncRNA from 1 species